rnacentral:tRNA from 1 species
GCCCUUGUGGCACAACAGUUAAGCAAUUAGCUGCUAACAAAAAGUUGGUGAUUCAAACCCACCCAGUGGCU